CACGUAGGGUGCGAGCGUUGUCCGGAAUUAUUGGGCGUAAAGAGCUCGUAGGCGGUGUGUCGCGUCGGCCGUGAAAACCUGCAGCUUAACUGUGGGCUUGCGGUCGAUACGGGCAUCACUGGAGUUCGGCAGGGGAGACUGGAAUUCCUGGUGUAGCGGUGAAAUGCGCAGAUAUCAGGAGGAACACCGGUGGCGAAGGCGGGUCUCUGGGCCGACAUUGACGCUGAGGAGCGAAAGCUAGGGGAGCAAACGGG
rnacentral:rRNA from 1 species